GCACUUGGAGGAUGUAUGGCAAUAGCUGGUUGCAUUAAGUAAAAGUUAGUGUAAGAUCGACUCUGUCGAAUAAAAUUCUAGGUAGAGUUAUGAUGAUGACAUUAUCUAUCUAUGUGUCUUGACCAAAAUACGUGCCAGCAGUCGCGGUAAUACGUAAAAGACUAGUGUUAUUCAUCUUUAAUAGGUUUAAAGGGUACUUAGACGGUGGAUUAAGCCCCCAAAGGGAACUAAUAAACUAGAGUUUGAUGUAAGGAAGUAUUAAAGUACUGUUGGUGUAGAGAUGAAAUUCUAUCAUACCAAAUAUGGCACAGGUUUAGGCGAAAGCAUCUUCUUAUGUAAUAACUGACGUUGAAGGACGAAGGCUUUGUGUCUCGAACAGGAUUAGGUACCCCAGUAGUCUAAGCAGAAAAUGAUGAAUGUCAUAGAUUAGAUAUUUUUUAGUCUAUAAAUGAAAGUGUAAGCAUUCCACCUCAAGAGUAAUUUGGCAACAUUGGAACUGAAAUCAUUAGACCGUUUCUGAAACCAGUAGUGAAGUAUGUUGUUUAAUUAGAUUAUCCGCAAAAAACCUUACCACAAUUUGAAUUGUUAUGCUAUUUUACAAUAACAAGCGCUGCAC
rnacentral:rRNA from 1 species